GAUGAACGCUGGCGGCGUGCCUAAUACAUGCAAGUCGGGCGAACGGACGAGAAGCUUGCUUCUCUGAUGUUAGCGGCGGACGGGUGAGUAACACGUGGAUAACCUACCUAUAAGACUGGGAUAACUUCGGGAAACCGUAGCUAAUACCGGAUAAUAUUUUGAACCGCAUGGUUCAAAAGUGAAAGACGGUCUUGCUGUCACUUAUAGAUGGAUCCGCGCUGCAUUAGCUAGUUGGUAAGGUAACGGCUUACCAAGGCAACGAUGCAUAGCCGGCCUGAGAGGGUGAUCGGCCACACUGGAACUGAGACACGGUCCAGACUCCUACGGGAGUCAGCAGUAGGGAAUCUUCCGCAAUGGGCGAAAGCCUGACGGAGCAACGCCGCGUGAGUGAUGAAGGUCUUCGGAUCGUAAAACUCUGUUAUUAGGGAAGAACAUAUGUGUAAGUAACUGUGCACAUCUUGACGGUACCUAAUCAGAAAGCCACGGCUAACUACGUG
rnacentral:rRNA from 1 species